rnacentral:rRNA from 1 species
UAUGUGAUCGUCUCUCGCAUAUCAAUAAGCGGAGGAAAAGAAACUAACAAGGAUUCCCCUAGUAACGGCGAGUGAAGCGGGAAGAGCUCAAAUUUGAAAUCUUAAAGGGUUUCCCUUUACGAAUUGUAGUUUAAAGAAGUGUUUUCUGUUGAGGUUUUGGUAAAAGUUCUUUGGAAUAGGACAUCAUAGAGGGUGAGAAUCCCGUAUUUGACCUUUACUUUCAACUUUGUGAUACACUUUCAAAGAGUCGGAUUGUUUGGGAAUGCAGUCCAAAAUGGGUGGUAAAUUUCAUCUAAAGCUAAAUAUUGGCGAGAGACCGAUAGCGAACAAGUACCGUGAGGGAAAGAUGAAAAGAACUUUGAAAAGAGAGUUAAACAGUACGUGAAAUUGUCAAAAGGGAAGCGUUUGACACCAGUGUUGUUUUUCUGAAAAUCAAUUAAAGAACUGUUUAUGCUAAGUUGUUUAGACUUUAUCAGCUAUCCUGCUUAGUUUUGAGCUUUUCUUUAAUGCACUUUUCAGUUAACAAGUCAACAUCAAUUUCUUUUGCUGUAAAAAAGCUUGAGGAAGGUGGCUUGAGAUUCGUCUUAAGUGUUUAUAGCCUCUUGCCUAUGCAGUCGGAGAGAUUGAGGUCUGCAGCGUAGAUCCUUCGGGGCUAAAUGCAUUUGUGCUAAGUUAUAACAUUUUAUAGACAACUUGUUGACUAUGAUUUGUCUUGUAGCUUACUCGCUUAUGUUAUUUUACCUACGCUUAGGAUGUUGAAGUCAUCGUAUCGCGC